rnacentral:lncRNA from 1 species
AUCUAUAAUAUGUUUACAUUUAAAAUUUAUUAAAUUCAUAUAUAAUUUUAUAAUAUGUAAAUUAUAAAUAAAUAUAAAAGCCAUAAUUAAUAAUCUCAUGAUUAUGUUAUGGUCAGAAGAGAAGGAGUUAAUCUCAUAUUUCUAUCUAAAAAGUGGCAGAAUUUAUAAACACAAAUCCCAACUGUAGCCUACCAAAUAGAAGAAAUGUAACUGCAGCAGUUGCAACUAUAUAAAACCAAACAGACUUGGUAUAGUUACGACUGUAGCAUUUGUAACUAUAUAUACUUUCAAUUAUAUUAUUUUUGUAACUAUAUCCACCUAAACGGCCCUUAAAGCACGCCU